rnacentral:lncRNA from 1 species
AGAGCUCAGAGGUAGGGGGAGGAGUUUCGUUCUUGGCUGGCCUUCUGGACCAUUAUAAAGACGUUGGCUUUUACUCUGGUGAAGUGGGAGGUCCAUGAGGGACUUGCAACAAAAGAGUGUCACUUUCCGACCUAUAUGUUAUUUUUUUUUAAGAUUUUAUUUAUUUAUUUGACAGAGACAGACAGCAAGAUAGAACACAAGCAGGGGGAGUGGGAGAGGAAGAAGCAGACUCAUAGCAGAGGAGCCUGAUGUGGGGCUUGAUCCCAGAACGCAGGAAUCAUGCCCUGAGCCGAAGGCAGAUGCUUAACGACUGUGCCACCCAGGCGCCCCUCCGACCUAUAUUUUAGAGCUAUGACUGUGGCUGCUGUGCUGAGAAUACUGCCGGUAGUUCAGCAGAGAGGUGGUUGUGGAUACCCCAGGGUCGUAGCUGGGGCCGGGCUGAGGAUGUUGCAUUCUGGACACUGCAUUUGAGGAUGGAGCUGACGCUCUGGAACGCCAGGGCAGCCCCAGGAGAACAGACCUGUGGAUGGCACUUCACCACGAGGAAGCUGAAAUGAGAUACUGGACGUGAGGAGGGAAGUGUAGCAGCUUGAAUGAAAGAGUGGACGACUGAGGCAGGAGAUCGUCAAGGUCUGGAAUCAGCCUGCGAAUGUUUCCCUUUAGGACUUAACAGAACGGUUUUACAAGGAUGUGAAAAAUCACAGCCCUGAGGCCUGGCGAUGCCCAGAAAGAAAGAAGCUGAGUGGAAGAUCGCUCAGGAAGUUUGACUCCUCGCUAAUCCCCAGAGCAAGUCUAGCUUACCAGGAGCCAUGGGGAUGGGCUAAAGGCUCAGAGCAAAGGUCAGUGCAAGUGGGGGUGCCUCUGUGGCCUGCAAACCUCCCAGUCCCCUUCUCCCCUGAAAGCCUG